rnacentral:tRNA from 1 species
AGGCAGAAAACCAGAGGUAAUGCGAUUUCGACCCGCACAAUAGAAUUAUUUAGUUCUCUGCCAU